rnacentral:rRNA from 1 species
AAUAGAUACCCGGGUAGUCCACCCCGUAAACGUUGGGAACUAGUUGUGGGGUCCAUUCCACGGAUUCCGUGACGCAGCUAACGCAUUAAGUUCCCCGCCUGGGGAGUACGGCCGCAAGGCUAAAACUCAAAGGAAUUGACGGGGACCCGCACAAGCGGCGGAGCAUGCGGAUUAAUUCGAUGCAACGCGAAGAACCUUACCAAGGCUUGACAUAUAGAGGAAACGGCUGGAAACAGUCGCCCCGCAAGGUCUCUAUACAGGUGGUGCAUGGUUGUCGUCAGCUCGUGUCGUGAGAUGUUGGGUUAAGUCCCGCAACGAGCGCAACCCUCGUUCUAUGUUGCCAGCACGUAAUGGUGGGAACUCAUGGGAUACUGCCGGGGUCAACUCGGAGGAAGGUGGGGAUGACGUCAAAUCAUCAUGCCCCUUAUGUCUUGGGCUUCACGCAUGCUACAAUGGCCGGUACAAAGGGCUGCAAUGCCGCAAGGUGGAGCGAAUCCCAAAAAGCCGGUCUCAGUUCGGAUUGAGGUCUGCAACUCGA